rnacentral:lncRNA from 1 species
GGGAUGGCUUGGUAGAAAAUGUCGAAUUCUUGCAAAGUAAUUUCUCACGUCUUCUGAUGUUUUUUUAUUGAGCGCUUUGAUCUUUGUUCUGCAGAUGUGGAAAUAACAUCAUCUACAACCUGUAGGCGUUCUCUGCACUUUCUCAACUAAUUGUUCCGUGCAUCUGACAACAAGAUGCAAAUUUACCCACAUCUGUCUACAAAGAGGCUUUCCUCCUGCCUGGCCUUUUUUGUAGAGAGUCAAACAACGUUAUUUUUACCCACUUCUAAAAAUUGAUUCUGAGCGUAUCUUUUGACAUGCCUGCUUGCCUUCCCCACUCCCAGAUGUCACCAGCUCCCUGCCUGCGUUACAACAUCCAUCUUGGCUGGCACGUGGGACCGAGCUGGGAAGGACGAGAACAGCUUGAGACAGAAAACAGUGUUCUGUAGCUCAAUGUCCCCGUCUGUGCUGAGGACCGGGAGUGUCACGUACUGAUUAUCCACUUCUUCUUACACAGUGAUUUACAUGCUGAUGGGUGCAGCCUUGUAAUUACCCAGGCACGUUCGCCCUAUGUCCCAAACCAGACAGCCCAGGCAGGCAUUAGCAGGGGAACAGCUGCAGUGGCCUGGAAGCGGGGGAAAUACGGAGGUGUUCAACCCGAGAGCUGGUAUCACUCAUCUCCUGGUUAUGUAAUUGUGGCUUCGCUGCAAGUUGUUGGAUGUGGUGCAGUCUGGCUGGAGAUGCUGCUGAUGGUGUGCUGGGGGGGAAUCUGCAAAUUUCUAGGGGUCAUUAUUGUAAUUUCAGUCUUCUGGAUUAAAUGGUAUUGA